GUGUCAGCAGCCGCGGUAAUACGUACUGUGCGAACGUUAUUCGGAAUCACUGGGCUUAAAGGGUGCGUAGGCGGUUUUUCAAGUCAGGUGUGAAAUCUUCAGGCUCAACCUGGAAAUGGCGCUUGAAACUGAGAGACUUGAGGCAGCUAGGGGUGUGUGGAACUUCCAGUGGAGCGGUGAAAUGUGUUGAUAUUGGAAGGAACGCCGGUGGCGAAAGCGACACACUGGGGCUGAACUGACGCUGAGGCACGAAAGCCAGGGGAGCGAACGGGAUUAGAUACCCCUGUAGUCC
rnacentral:rRNA from 1 species